AUGGACGGCAAGAAGCCCAAGAUCCCGGCUGACGUCCGGCGGGCCAGCCAGUGGGCGCUCGUCAACGCCUCCUUCCACCUCUUCUCAUUCUUCGCCGUGCGCCCGUCCGCCGCCUAUGCCGUCGCCGGCUACGAGGCCACGUGCAGCGAGUGCGUGGCGCUGACGGACAAGCUGAGCGGCCUCUGGCUCGUGAUGCUGUGGUGCGCCGCAGCCCAGGCGGCCGCCGCGGGGCUGGCGCUGAUGCUCCCGUGCCGCGACAACGCCAACCUCGCGCUCAGGGUCACCAUCGUCGGGCACUACAUGUACGCCGUCGCCGUCCGCCUCCUCCUCGAAGCCGACCCAGGAUUCCUCUUGGGCUGGAUCGUCGGCCCCGCGAGCAUCGUCGUCUUCGCGGGCGCCGACUUCGUCUGCUUCCGUGACCUCCUCCAGCUGGGAGAUGACUAG
rnacentral:rRNA from 1 species